CCUUGGAGGACUGUCUAUGGAGAGGAGGGGCUUGCAGUUGUUGGGUUUGGCAACCAACCCAGCAGCUGCCUUGAUUGUCUGUUUCCUCUUUGCUGACCCAAAUGGAGGUGCUACUUGUCUGCUGCUGAAGAAGUAGGAGCUUGUCAGCCCUCCAACUCACCUCCAAAUGUUAGUGAGAACAAGCCUGGUAGAAAGCAAUUCAGCUGACAGCAGAUAAAUUUUUGGCAGAAAAUUCAAAGCACAUACAAAGAAGGUCUCAAGGAAGUGAGCCAAAUCACAGACAACAUAUCAAGUAAAUCCAUGAAGAGAACUCAAAAACAUGCAGAACAGAUCAUGCAAGCUAUUGUGUUAAUGACUACAGGUUGUCACAAUCGGCUGUCGAUUUGGGAGAGAGUGUCCAGAUGGGUCCCUGGCACCCUGGCCACAGGACAGGCACUUAAGAUCAAGCCUCAGACUACAGGGGAAAGAGUUCUUUGUCACCCAGGUCCUCUUCCUUAAGGGUUUGCAGUCUCUGUGACAGCCUCUCACCAGAGGUCUAUGACACAGUCUCCUUCCCUCCUCUUCAUCACUGGCCAUCUCCAUUUUAUAUGUCCUCUCACAUGACUCACACCCCCAGCCCCCCUUGAUUUGGUCCCUGGCCUUUUUAAUUGCCCUUGUAGUGCUCCCAUACAAUUCACCUGUGCACAGCCCAUCUCCUGUUCUUCCCCUUCCUUUCCUUUCCUACGAGGCGUACUGCUGACAUUAGUGUGGUGCAUCUUGGGCUCUACCUCCCUGCCCUGCAGCCCAUUGCCAGGCCUCCCCUCAACUGGGGGCCCCCAGCUGCCCGUGCCACCACCAGCCUUCGAUACCUUGACCAGACCCAGCCACUCCAUUGCAUCUCCAAUGCCCAAGCUGCUGCCAACUCUCGCCUCACCAGCACCGGAAGGUUCUGCCACAGCCUCCUAGGUAAGGCCAGUGGGUGAACCCACCAGAGAAGGAGAAGGAGCAAGUCUUCAAACUGUCUGACAGGUAGUCUGACAGAAUACAAAAAUCAAGGCUUAUAAGGAAAAUAUGUUUGUAGAGCAAUUGGAAAAAUACCUAUGUGGGGGGAGAGUAAUUUAAUGUGACUGUGCGCCAAGGGAAAUCCUCUGCUAAUCCUCUGUUUGUCAUGGUCUUUUAGGAUUGACCCUAACCGAACGAAAUUAAA